rnacentral:rRNA from 1 species
UACGAAGGGGGCUAGCGUUGCUCGGAAUCAUUGGGCGUAAAGCGCACGUAGGCGGCUUUUUAAGUCAGGGGUGAAAUCCUGGAGCUCAACUCCAGAACUGCCUUUGAUACUGAGAAGCUUGAGUCCAGGAGAGGUGAGUGGAACUGCGAGUGUAGAGGUGAAAUUCGUAGAUAUUCGCAAGAACACCAGUGGCGAAGGCGGCUCACUGGCCCGGUACUGACGCUGAGGUGCGAAGGCGUGGGGAGCGAACAGG